CAAAAUGGAGUCGCCAUGGAAUUGCUGUAUUUACUACAAGCAAGCAAUAUUGUCACGCCAUUUCACUAUCGUCUACCUCUCACCGAGUCUCAUUGGUUAAUCGGGUACAUUCAACGCAUCUGACUGGUUAAUGAAAGCGGAAGUGGAAGUAAAAUCUGAACCUCUAUUACAGCACGUAACUAGUAGUAAUUUAAAGGGAUAUGGCAAUAUAAAACAUUGUUGCGGAAACAUUGUUUCCUACCAAUGGCAAUGUUUCGCCAUGUUUCCCAGAGUGGGCAAACACUAGGAAACAUUAGUGAGAAACAUAGGGAAACAUCAAAUGUUUCUGAAUUUGGUAGGAAACAUUUUUUCUUCCCGGGAAGCAAAUUUUGUUUCCGCAACGUUUCCACGGGUGGGCAAACAUGGAAACAUUUGAGGAAACAUCGAGAAUCACAAAUGUUUCCGCAACAAUGUUUCCUAGUUUGCCCAGGGCUUUAUUUGAAAGAACAUUUAAAAUGAUAUAUAAACUUCCUUUACAAUUAUUCCGUGUCUUGCUUGGUUUUCGAAAUAAAUCGACUUAUUUUGAUCAAAAGCAGCGUGCAUUCCGCCAUCUUGGAUAUGCAAUCGAUAUGCAUACGUCACAAGUAGGGUAAAAAGCGAAAUUUUUAUCUUGCAAGCCACAUGUCAUUAUCAAUAUGAAACUCGAUUUUCCGAUGUAUUUUUAGUACUUAAUUAACUCACAACAUUUUAAGAAACCUUUCGAAGAAAUUUAGUCCCACAUGAAGAAGUUUUAACAAGUUUACCCUGCUUGUGACGUCAUCAAAAACUCAGAAAUUAGGUCAAUUAUAACACCAAGAUAGCGGACUGCACACUGUUUUUAGUCAAAAUAUUUCGAAAACAAAGAAAGGUACGAAAAAGUUGUGAAGGGUCUUCAUAUAUAACUUUAAAAGUUCUUUCAAAUAAGACGAAGUUAAUUUUGAUUGCCAUAUCCUUAAUAGCAUUAAUUUUUAGUAUAUACAGUAUAGUACGGUCAUCCAAAUGUUUGUUUUUGUUUCCCGUGGCCCGACCAACCCUAAUUUAACAAUAUUGAAAAAAUUAAUAUCCACAAUUUUUUUGACAAUGCAAGUAACGGGUUAAACAUAACUAUAUAUAAUGUUCGUUAAUUUAAUGAGAUGUGACUAAAUGGAGGUUUAUAAAAGGGAGAGUUAUGCAUGGUUCAAUUCUUCCUGUUACCAUCCCCCCCCCCCGGGCAACCACCGGGAAUUUGCCAAAUUCCCCACCCCCAGGCAAAUAAAAAAAGACAAUUUCCCACCCCAGGGACAAUAUUGGCUAUUACAUUCGGUUUAUUUUCAUGAUCAGUAUAUUAAAUAGUGAGCUUAUAGGAAAGUGACGUUUUUGACAACAGGACAUUGCUCAAACGUUAGCUGAUACCAAACUUUGGCGGUGCUUUUCGUUAUAACUUUUGUAUAGGAAAGUAAUAUAAUUAAAAAACCUCCGGUUUCUUCGUCACACUGGGAAAAUUAAUGGGGUAUGCUAACUUUCGCGUAUUAAUGUUUGUGUUGUCAAAAACGUUGCUUUCCUAGGCACACUAUUAUCAAAAAUAACAGUAUAAACGGCAGAGAUCGCAACUGGCGGUUUUAUAAUUACAGUAUCUUUGUAUAUUAUAUCAAACGAUAUUUAUAUCAAACGAAAAUAUCAUCUUUGAUAGAUCUCGCGGGAAACAGCUUCACUUCCAAUCCAUCGCAUUCGGGCAUAAUAUAAUAUAUGCCAUAAUUAUAAAUAUUCCUCACCCCUACCCCCGGGACCAAACGAUCAAUGAAAUUCCCCACCCCCGGGAAUUUUCGGCGCACAAAUCCCCGGGAGUUGGAUGGUAACAGGAAGAAUUGAUCCAUGCAUUAAGUCGGAGAGUUAUCAUUUCGGAGAGUUAAGUUCGAGCCACGCCCACUUUUCCAACGACCACACCCAAUUUCCAUAUAAAUCGAUUUACAGUUAAACAUUUGGAAAAACUAUUUUCACAUCACUUAGAUUUUUAUCGUUGUUUAUAAAAUAGUACCCAAAAAUGGCGGAUUUAGACGUUCGUGAGAAAGGCUGAUUCGCCGUAACACUCUUGCAUCAAAAACUUAAAAAAUUACGAGAGGGUUAACAUUUAAUAUUUUCUAAACUUUCUGUUGUUAUGAUUGGUAAGCGAGGAGAUAGUAAGUCGAAUUAUUAUUUUAAAGUUAACACCGAUCAUAUUUUGAAAAACAUAGCGAUCGUUAAAGGAGUUUUUUUAAUUUCUGCUGUGGAUUACUAGAGUAAGAAAGCAGCUUGUUGUAUCCCUUCCCACCUAUAGCAAGACUAAGACAAGUAUUUAAAACACAAAUAUUUUGACUAUUUCCAAUUAAUACGGUGUAAUCAAAGAGACUUGCAAGACUCGAAACAAGCAAGUACUGGGUACAAGCAACAAAACCAGAAGGCCUAACAGUGAAAUGUCUAGAAUGCAUUUUCACUGCAAUACAUGAAAGCUACGAAAACGUUAACUCUCGUAAUUUUUUACGUUUUGCUGUAAGAGAGUUACGGCAAAUGAGAGUUAAGAAAUUGGG
rnacentral:lncRNA from 1 species